CACGUAGGGUGCGAGCGUUAUCCGGAUUUACUGGGCGUAAAGCGCCCGUAGGCGGCCUGACAAGUUGGACGUGAAAGCUCCUGGCUUAACUGGGAGAGGCCGUUCAAAACUGUCAAGCUAGAGUCUGGAAGAGGAGAGCGGAAUUCCCGGUGUAGUGGUGGAAUGCGUAGAGAUCGGGAGGAACACCAGUGGCGAAAGCGGCUCUCUGGUCCAAAACUGACGCUGAGGGGCGAAAGCGUGGGGAGCGAACGGG
rnacentral:rRNA from 1 species